UGAACGUUUAACAUUUUUACGUCGCUUUUGCAACACGUUUAUCUGCGUUUAAACGGAUUUAAAGGAAUAGUUUGGCUCAGCCAAAAAUCAAAACAGUGUCAUCAUUUACUCACCCUCACGUUGUUCCAAACCCGUUUGACUUUCUUUCUUCUGCUCAACACAAAAGGAGAUGUUAGGCUGUGUGUUAAGGUCUGACAGCCUCAGUCGCCACUCACUUUAGUGGCACUUUUUUCCAUGCAAUGAAAGUGAAUGGUGACUGAAAAGAAAGAAAGUUGUUUAAAAACAACAGGGAUUCUUGUUGCGCUCCUUUUGGCAGGAUUAGGCCAAAGACGGCGUCUGUCUGGCCGUCUGCGUGCGCUGCCUAAGCGCAGUCGCAGAAAGAGGAUCAUUUGUGUGAAAAUCAACCUAAGAAAUGGUCAAAAUCACACGCGGCGCGCCGGAGCUGCUCGGCCGUUGUCAUGGAUAACAUGGUGGGCACCCUGUCUCGGUCAGCGGGAUGUCCCGCAGAUUGAGCCGGGCGCCCCGCGGAGCCACGGAGCGGCCUUUAAAAUUGACCCCCCGCGGAGGACCGGGGCCCCUCUUGUCUCGUCUGAGCGCACGCCUGGAGACCGCUUUUAAAUGUGCUUCUGGUGUCCCAGAGAGAGAGGCCGCUGGCACGAAGGGGCGAAAGCUCACCGCAGUGGUCCCUUUUUCUCGGAUAAAUUCAAAGGAGGAAAAUAGCCCACAUUACAAGCUCCUUAAGGGUCAAGGACAGCCGAGACAUGAAUGGUUUGAAAGAGUGGCAUUGUGCAAUCACAUAGCACGCGAUUACACCCUCUGUCAUCUUUUUACGGAUUUGCAUUUUUCUUGUGCCACAAUGAACCGUCCAGAAUAAGACUUACAAGACAUGUGGAUGAAAUUAAUUAAGACGCUGGAGAAAAAGAGGUGUGAACUGCAAAUGCGGUGGUCCUGUUUGGAAUAGACGCUGUUGCUAUUUUAGGAGCAUUUUAAUGAGUGGCAACUGAUUUUUUUGGAGCUUGGAUGACUGCACGCGAUUUGAAAAAUACUGAAGGUUUUAGAAAAUCUCUCAUUGGACAUUAUAAGGACGGAGGCAUUCGCAACACUUCAUUUCACUGCUAAACGAAUUCAAAUGGUCUCGGUAUUGGCUAGUGUUUUCCUUCACGCAGCAGGGACGGCGGUAGAUUGAUGCCCUUACAUUAUUCAUGCGACGAUUAUUCAAAAUUUAGCAAUAACUCGAGAGCGUUUUGUCCUUUCUCUCAUCCGUACCAAGGUACGCUGCUAUUCUUAUGCGACAAUCAUCCAUUGGACAGUGCGGCCCCAGAAAGCACCCUUAAACACUCCCCCAUUGUACUGUCACAAGCCUGGAGAGUUCAUGUUAUAUUUAUGUUGCCUACAGCGUAUUCUCUCUGUUCUGUUCUGUUCAGCUGAACUCACGCCAACUCCUCCAGGUCCCCCCUCCACAGACAAUGUUACAUCUCAUUGGCUUUGCCCUAGAUAGGCUAUUUUUGUAUGAAAUAAUUAGACAUAACUGAUUUAAAUACUGCAAAGCCAACACUCUUUUGUCUCGUUAACAAAGUACAGGAGAGGUGCACGCUCGCGGUGUCAUUUCUGUCAAUCCGUACGCAAAAUGCGGAUCUGAAGCGGGGCCAAAAAAACAAACAGAGCCGUUUUAUUAGCUUCCUUCGAUUCGGGUCUUACUUUCGGGACCGAGCCGCGGUGACCUGACCUGGUAGAAUCUAUUACGAAAGCAAAAAAUGUCAGGAAAGCAUUGCCAGAAGCUUUUAAUUGUCUCAACGUGUACAUCAGCAAAAUAUAGGAUUGCUAAAAUAUGCCGGCAUACAGCAGUAAUUGUCCAUAUAAGGACAGCACGGCGCUUAAAACAGCACGUUUUGUUUGUUACACUGACCCCGGACCCAGACAGCCGUGCUGAUGCCGAGUGCACACGGGCACACGAGGGAGAGGUGGAGAGCAGGAACGCAGAUUGGGGCUGACCGCUCGGCUGCACUUUAAUGUACCCUCUACUUCAUCAGUCCUGAUUAGCCACCAUAAAAAUCCAGAUUGAACAUUACAUUUUUACUGCUGAUUGUCUUCCAAACACUCUCAGGUGUUGGCGUGUUAAAUGCCAGGGUGUGCAUCUGUCCUCGCAUCCCAUUAGCUUGCUGCAGUGAGACGUCUGACUUGAAAAAGGGGGACCCUCUUCAGAAACGAAAGCAAUGCAGAACAAAUUUCAGGCUUUUAGGCUUACCGCGUCUUGUGCCAAAACCUCAAUAACAAGCCCCCCUCCAGCCCCCGUUUCCCUGGCUCUUGCCCCAGACUUACACAAAGAAACACCAGCUUUAUGGACUUAGGGCAUUAAAGCAUAAAAAACAGCGGACGGAGAACAGGUUCGGAACACAUGGCGCCAAACGCGGGGCACGAUCACGUCAGAUCGCGCGGGCCGCACGCUUUAACGCUCCAAUUCGUAGGUGCGCGGCCGCGUUUUCGAAAGGGCACAUGAAAGGGCUUAGCGAGAGAGAAAGAGAGAGAGAUGAGCAACGGCGGCGAGGAGGCCGGCGCUCCAGCAAAAAACGCUUUUCUGAUGAGCUGCAACAAUGCACUCACUCCCACGACAUCAGCUCUCUGUUGGGAGUCUCCUCCUAAUUUCCUCCAUCCAUAAUAAAAAGAGCUACAUUAAACAGUGCCAUUAGUGCCAGCAAUUUGUUUUAUUCUCCACAGAAAGAGAAAUGUUAUCUGUGGCGGACAAACUUAACCCAAUUAAAGCUCAUUGUGUAUGGGGGCCUUGCUGGGUCUUCAGCUGAUGCCUAGGAACGAGGGCAGAGAAAGCCAACUUUGGGGAGGGAGAGGGGAAAAAAAGAGAACGGUUGGAGCACGUCUGGAGAAUUAGGGAAAGUAGGAGAGAGACAAAUGUGCUUUCAGGAAAAAAGACGGGAAGAGAAAUUAUGUUUUCGUACAAUUUCCCCCCACGUCAAAUCCCUCCCAAGAUGGCCCGAUAGAGGAACGCUGCCCAAGAUGUACGCUUUGAAACGAAAACGCACCGAUAAAUAGCCGAAGGAUUGAGGUGAAUGUAAAACAUUUCCAUCAAAUGGAAUAUAGAAAAAAAAGAAGGGAGGAACUGCGUACAAAGCCACACGUUCUGAGACACUCGCUCAUACCCUCACAUUUUUGCUGUUAAUUGUUGUGAUAACACCUCUCGAUUACAGGGGUUUAAUUAUCAACAUGUUUGGCUGUUAGAGCGAGUACCUGGCACAGAUCCUGGUGAAGGGCUCAAGGUUUCUAAUGAAGAUCUCACUCACAGCAGCAUACAGGAGGCUCAGUGUGGUGCUGUCCUAACAAAGAAGCACAUCGCGUUUAGAGACGACCUGGGUAUCUGUGAAUUCUAACACAAUAAUGCCAAGAAUAUUCAUAGUGAUACAUUUUGAUUGAUAUCCAGUUGUGCGGGAAUGGCAAGUGUCGGUCUCUGUGGGGAGAAAAAGUGAUUCUGUGUGAUUGCGGAGUUGUAACAGUAACUGAAUCG